rnacentral:rRNA from 1 species
UAGAGUUUGAUCCUGGCUCAGAACGAACGCUGGCGGCAUGCCUAACACAUGCAAGUCGAACGGGAUUAAGGGGCUUGCUCCUUAAUUUAGUGGCGCACGGGUGAGUAACGCGUGGAUAAUCUACCUGAAGCUCUGGGAUAACAUCUCGAAAGGGGUGCUAAUACCGGAUAAGCCCACGGGAUCUUCGGAUCUUGCGGGAAAAGGAGGGGACCUUCGGGCCUUCCGACAUCAGAUGAGUCCGCGUCCCAUUAGCUAGUUGGUGGUGCAAUGGACCACCAAGGCGACGAUGGGUAGCUGGUCUGAGAGGAUGAUCAGCCACACUGGAACUGAGACACGGUCCAGACUCCUACGGGAGGCAGCAGUGGGGAAUUUUGCGCAAUGGGGGAAACCCUGACGCAGCAAUGCCGCGUGAGUGAUGAAGGCUUUCGGGUCGUAAAGCUCUGUCAGAAGGGAAGAAAUGUAGGUGGCUAAUAUCCAUUCUACUUGACGGUACCUUCAAAGGAAGCACCGGCUAACUCCGUGCCAGCAGCCGCGGUAAUA